GUAAUUGCAACAGCGAUUUGUAUCUGGUAGAUGACAAUAUUGCCGUUUGGUGCAGAAGAAACUCACUGACUCCGUGACAGAGUGUGUCCGCCUCGGGCUGGUUCAACUUUGAUUUGAGUUUUAUUAUGAGUGACCGAGACCUAUUCACAACUGAUAUCAGUGGUUCCCAGCUUUGGAGAAUGGUAUUUCUGUCUUGGCGCGGCGCACUUCGAUUCAUCUUAGCAGCAUACUAAGAAGUUGCCUGGUCCAAUACAAGAUACGGGAUAGGUAUUUCUGUCUUGGCGCGGCGCACUUCGAUUCAUCUUAGCAGCAUACUAAGAAGUUGCUUGGUCCAAUACAAGAUACAGGAUAGGUUAGUGAUGGUUAUAGAAGCAGUCAGGAGUGAAUUGUGCACUGGAAAAACAUUCUAGAGUGGAAUAAAAAACUUGGGUCAGCUUUUUGUAAAAAGUGAAAAAAGUGACUUUCCGAAUGUUGAUUUUUUGCAUAAUCUGGAGUUGUUAAAUUCUAUGUGCUUUGACAUAACAUAUUAAAAGUAUACAUUUUUGUUAUAAGUAUGGUUAUAUCUAUCUGAAACAGUAAGGUUUAAGCUGGAUUUGAUUUUUUUUAAAAAUCACUGAUUGUU